UUGGCCGGCUCUCUCCUUUCUUUCUUUCUUUCUUUCUUUCAUUUUCUCUCUUUUCUUUUCAUUUUGUUGAAACACACACGCACUCACCCGCCAGACUCCACUCCAAAAUACACUAUCUAACCAUCAUUUUUCCGGCAAGAUCACCGGAAAAAUACUUAGGAACUCCAAAGCAUCUUCAUUAUUUUAUUUGAGAGUAGGCAACAAUCUUUUGAGACAGCUUUUUGGUGGCUAAUAGUAGUUAGACUAACUAUUGAUGGAGGCUGAAUUUUUGUGUAAUGGAUUUAUUAGAUGGUGUACAUCUUAGACUAGGCUUGACUCAUUCUUUUGUAUAUUAUAGUGGUUAUGACUGUAUUUCCACUAAUGGGACAAGCUGUUGUUAUGUAAUUGUUAUUUUCAGACCUCUAUUCUUUUGUGGCCUAUGGUCCUUGUAAUUAAUGCUUAGAGCUAUGACUUACUCUGAAGGUAUAUUCUAUGGGAUGAUUAUGAUAAUUCUUGUUGUUGGCACUUGAUAAUAAUUAUGUGGAUUGAAUUGUCAAAAA